AAGGCGGUGUUCGAGGAAACUCUCAACGUCUUCUACCUCCCUGUUGGACUUGGGCCGAGCUUGUCUCGGCCUCUUUUUU
rnacentral:ncRNA from 1 species